GAAGAAGCUCCGGGCUAGGAACGCCAACAGCUACCUAGAGACUCCUCGGAUCCGCCUGAGCUGGAAAGAUCAGCACUCGGGAGCGGGACCAGAUAUGCUUGAAUCUGCACACAGGGUGCAGGAAGUAAAGUGAAUACUCCAACUCAGUGAGUAAUAAUCAUAAAUAAAGACUAAAAGCAGAAAAACAUGUAAGGCACAUUACCGGCUAUAAUGAAGCAGUAAUAACAGUAACUCAGUAAAAAUAUGAGAAAAGUCAUUUUUUUCAACUUAAACUUCAUAAAAACCUUUCUAGCAGUUAAACAUAUAAUGACAGGCAAUUAACAAAGAUAACACAUAAAGGUUCUCCCCUCGGGCACAGUAUCAACAAAUCUGCCCCUCGGGCAAUAUCUUAGAACAAUACCAGCCCCUCGGGCCACAUCUCACAUCACAUGGGUACCCGUGCUCACUGGGGUGUGCAGACUCCUGGAGGGGCCCCUUACGGCCCAAGCACAAUAUCAAUCCAUCUUAUGGCAUCAUCAUUAGGCUCUCGGCCUUUAAUCAAUCAAGCCACCUCGUGGCAUACAUAUCUCAGGCCCUCGGCCUCAAAUCACGAUCAGUGUUUCCCCACAACAUAGGCCCUCGGCCUUACUCAGUCAAAAAUCCUCACAAGAAACUCGGCAGUAGUAAAAUGGGAUUUCUCAGCCCAAUUAUCAUUUAAAAGAACAUAUAAGUGUUAAAACAUAAUAAACAUGGCUGAGUAUGAAAAUAGUGAAAUAUAUCAUGACUGAGUUCAAGUAUAAAGUCAAAACAGUGAGGAAAUAUCAAUAAAAAUCCCCGAAGGGUUAAAAUAGUUGGCACGAGGCCUAAAUAUGGCAUUCAGUCAAAAUAAUGAUGAUACCAAAUAGAUUUCAGUCAAAUACACGGUAAAAUAGUCAUUCAGGACGGACUAAGUCACAAUCCCCAACAGUGCACGACCCCACGCUCGUCAUCAAGCGUGUGUGUCACCUCAAUAUAGCACAAUGAUGUGCAAUCCGGGGUUUCAUACCCUCAAAACAUCAUUUCCAAUCAUUACUCACCUCAAACCGGUCAAAUCUCUAGCUCGCGAUGCCUUUGCCCCUCGAAUCGGCCUCCACUCGUGUCGACUCUAUCCCGAAAUUACCAAAACUUGACCCCUAGGCCCACGUCUCGGAAUUCGAUAAAAUUCACAUCAAUGGAUUCCUCAUCUCCCCACGCGUUUAUACAUAUCAAAAGGUUUGAAAUACGACAAUAAAUGAUCCUUCAAAUCCUCAAGUCUAGGUCUCCAAUACCAAGCCCUAGUUUCCCCAAUUAUAACCCUUAAAUUCCAUUAAUUAUAGCUCUAAUCCGUGAAAUAAUAGCAUAGGAACGAGUUUUAGGUCCGAAAUCUUUACCUCGAUGAAGUUCCCCUGAAAUCCCUCUUAAAAAUCGUCCAAAAAGCUCCAAAGCCGACUAAAAAAUGUUGGAAUAGCUCAAAAAUAGCGAAGGACACAAUUUAUACCUUCUGGCCCAGGUAUUGUUGCAUCUGCGGCCAUAUAACCGCUAUUUGGUACCGCAUUUGCUGUCCUCCUAACUGCUUCUGUGGUUCCUGCCAACUUCCCAGCUUCUGCUUCUGUGAACCUUUUGCCGCAUAUGCGGCAUCGCACCUGCGGUCCCUAAUCCGCAAGUGCGAAAAUACCAGAAGCAAAAAAAUCUACAACUUCACAAAAUCUCAAACUCCUCCGUCAACCAUCCAAAUCACCCCGAGGCCCCCGGGACCUCAACCAAAAGCACAAACAUAUCCCAUAACCUUAUUCGAACUUGUGCCAAUCUUUAAAACACCUCGAACAACAUCAAAUCAACCAAAACACAUCGGAAUCAAGACUAAGUUUCCAAAAUCUUCCGAAUUCCUUUUUGAUCAAAAACCCAACCAAACCACGUCCGAAUCACUUGAAAUUUUGCACACAUAUCCCAAAUGACACCAUGGAACUAAUGCAACUCUCGGAAUUCCAUGUCGACCCCUAUAUCAAAAUCUCUCCUACCAACCGGAAAUCGCCAAAAUAUCAACUUCGCCAAUUCAAGCCUAAAUCUACUCCGAACCUCCAAAACCUGUUCCGAUCACGCUCCUAAAUCCCAAAUGACCUCUCGAAUCUAUCCGAACCAUUGGAACUCACAUCCAAGCCCUCUAACAAAUAAGUCAACACCAGUUGACUUUUCCAACUUAAGCUCCCUCAAAAGAGACCAAGUGCCUCAAACCUUAUCAAAUCAUUUUUGAACCCGAGCCAACCAACCCGAUCACACAUAAAACUGAUAGACAAAGCAAUAAGAAGCAAAAAUGGGGAAACAAAGCGGUAACUUAUGGGACGACUGGCCGGGUCGUCAUAUCCUCCCCAACAUAAACAAAUGUUCGUCCUCGAACGAGUAAAGAGACAUACCUGAAGCCUCAAACAGGUGAGGGUAUAUGCUCCGCAUCUCCCGCUUGGUCUCCCAGGUAGCCUCCUCCACAGGCUGACCUUUCCACUGCACUUUCACUGAAGCUAUAUCCUUUGACCUCAACUUUCGAACCCGAUUACCCAAAAUAGCUAUUGGCUCCACAUUAUAGGUCAAAUCAUCAUCCAACUGAACCAUGCUAAAAUCUAGAACAUGAGACGGAUCCCCAAUAUACUUCUGGAGCAUAAAAACAUGAAAUAUCGGGUGCACACUCGACAUGCUGGGUGGCAAAGCAAGCUCAUAAUCCACCUCCCCAAUUCUCCGAAGCACCUCAAAAGGCCCAAUGAACCGAGGACUCAACUUACCCUUCUUCCCAAACCUCAUAACACCCUUCAUGGGUGAAACAUUCAACAGAACCUUCUCACCAACCAUGUAGGACACAUCCCGAACCUUCCUGUCAUCAUAACUCUUUUGCCUCGACUGCGCUGUACGAAGCCUCUCCUGAAUCACCUUCACCUUUUCUAAAGCAUCUUGCAGCAAGUCUGUCCCCAAUAGCCUAGCCUCACCUGGCUCAAACCAACCAACUGGAGAUCUACACUAUCUCCCAUACAAAGCCUCAUAUGGAGCCAUCUGAAUACUCGACUAGUAGUUGUUGUUACAAGUAAACUCUGCAAGCGGUAGAAACUGAUCCCAUAACCCUCCGAAAUCAAUGACACAAGCACGCAACAUGUCUUCUAAUAUCUGAAUAGUGCGCUCGGACAGUCCGUCCGUCUAAGGGUGAAAAGUUGUGCUCAACUCAACCUGAGUACCCAACUCUCGCUGCACAAACCUCCUAAAUUGAGUGCCCCAAUAUGAAAUGAUGGAAACGGGGACACCAUGCAAGCGAACAACCUCCCGGAUAUAGAUCUCUGCCAACCGCUCUGAAGAAUAGGUAGUACACAUAGGAAUGAAGUGCGCGGACUUGGUCAGUCGAUCCACAAUCACCAAAAUAGCAUCGAACUUCUUCAAAAUCCGUGGAAGUCUAACUACAAAGUCCAUAGUGAUCCUCUCCCACUUCCACUCUGGAAUAUCCAUCUGCUGAAGCAAUCCACCUAGUCUCUAAUGCUCAUACUUCACUUGCGGACAAUUGAGACACCGAGCUACAAAUCCCACAAUGUCUUUCUUCAUUCUUCUCCAUCAAUAGUGCUGCCUCAAAUCCUGAUACAUCUUCAUGGCAACCGGAUGAAUGGAAUACCAUGAGCUAUGGGCCUCCUCCAGAAUCAACUCCCGAAGCCCAUCCAUAUUGGGCAGACAAAUCCGGCACUGCAUCCUCAACACCCCAUCAUCACCAAUGGUCAUAUCUCUGGCAUCAUUGUCUUGAACUUUAUCCUUAAGGAAAAACAAAUGCGGAUCAUUAUACUGGCGCUCUCUGAUGCGAUCAUAUAAGGAAGACCGAGAAACCACACNNNNNNNNNNNNNNNNNNNNNNNNNAUAUCCAGAAUCCUUUAGCAACUCCAACCAUCUCUGCGGCCUCAAAUUAAUAUCCUUUUGCUUGAACAAGUGUUGGAGACUACGAUGAUCAGUAAACACCUCACAAGACAUACCAUACAAGUAAUGCCUCCAAAUCUUCACCGCACGAACUAUGGCAGCCAACUCCAAAUCAUGAAUGGGGUAUUUCUUCUCAUGGGGCUUCAACUAACGAGAAGCAUAAACAAUAACUCUACCCUCCUACAUCAAUACACAACCAAUCCCAACUCUCGAAGCAUCACAAUACACGGUAUAUGAACCUGAAGCAGAUGGCAAAACCAACAAUGGAGUUGUGGUCAAGGCUGUCUUGAGCUUCUGAAAGCUCUCCUCACACUCGUCUGACCAUACAAAUGAAGCACCCUUCUAAGUCAACUUGGUCAAGGGCGAUGCGAUAGAUGAUAAGCCCUGAACAAACUGGCGAUAAUAGCCUGCCAAACCAAGAAAUUUGCGAAUCUCUAUGGCUGAGGACAGUACCGUCGAUGGACACCACGUGCCCCAAAAAGCCACUGAACUAAGCCAAAACUCACACUUGGAGAAUUUUGCAAAAAGCUUCUCCUCCCUCAAUCUCUACAACACAACUCUCAAAUGCUCUGCGUGCUCCUCCCGACUACGCGAAUACACCAGCAUAUCAUCAAUGAAGACUAUGACAAAUGAAUCGAGAUAAGGCCGGAACACGCUGUUCAUCAAAUGCAUGAACGAUGCUAGGGCAUUGGUCAACCCAAAAGACAUCACCAAGAACUCAUAAUGAUCAUAUCGAGUCCUAAAAGUCAUCUUAAGAAUAUUCGAGACCCUGAUCUUCAACUGGUGAUAACCUGAAUGGAGAUCAAUCAUGGAGAACACUCUCGCUCCCUGAAGCUGGUCGAAUAAAUCAUCAAUGCGAGGCAAAGGAUACUUGUUCUUAACUGUUACCUUGUUUAAUUGCCUAUAAUCAAUGCACAUCCUCAUAGUGCCGUCCUUCUUCUUCACAAAUAGAACCGGCACACCCCAAGGUGACACACUAGGACUAAUGAACCCCUUAUCAAGGAGUUCCUGAAGCUGCUCCUUUAACUCCUUCAACUCCGCUGGUGCCAUACGAUACGGCAGAAUAGAAAUGGGCUGAGUGCCUGGCACCAGGUUAAUACAAAAAUCAAUAUCCCUAUUCGGUGGCAUGCCCGGUAGGUCUGCAGAAACAUAUUGGGAAAUCCCUCACAACUGGAACAGAAUCAAUACUGGGAGCCUCAGUACCGACAUCCCUCACAAAGGCUAGAUACGAAAGAAGACCUUUCCCAACUAUACGUUUGUCCUUCAAGAAUGAGAUCACUCUACUAGGAACAUAAUCAGUCACACCUUGCCACUCAAUCCGUGGCACACCAGGUAUAGCCAAUGUGACCGUCUUAGCAUGACAACCUAGAAUAGUACGACACGGAGAUAGCCAAUCCAUGCCCAAAAUGACAUCGAAAUCCACCAUACACAAUAAUAAAAUAUCCAAUCGGGUCUCUAGACCCCCAAUAGUCACCACACAUAACCGGUACACACGGUCUACAACAACAGUAUCACCCACCUGGGUAGAUAUAUGAACAGGUGAAGCAAGAGACUCACGGAGCGUACCCAAAUAAUGAGCAAAGUAUGAUGACACAUAAGAAAUGGUGGAACCGGGAUCAAAUAAUACAGAGGCAUCUCUGUGGCAGACUGAAACAAUACUUGUCAUGACAGUAGUUGAAGCAAUAGCAUCGGUUCUAGAUGGAAGUGCAUAGAAAUGGGCCUGAGCGCCACCUGAUCGACCUCUUCCUCUAGGCCGACCCUUAGCUGACUGACUUCCACCCCUAGCUGGCUGGGCGAGUGGUGAUGAAGUAAUUGGUGUUGAAGCCGAUUACUGACCCUUCUGCUGAGAUGAACUCGCAAGAUGAUGAGGGUGUUGUCUCCAUAUGUGAACCAUCUCUCCACACUCAUAACAAAUCCAAGGUGCUGGAGAAGGGGACCGAAGGGAACCACUCGCACCGGAGUGACAAGCAAAUGCACCUGGCAUAGAAGAGCCCUAAACUGAUAGAGCACGGGACGAACUCUGAAGCUGGAUGGGCACUAAGUGAUGACUGGCCCUGAUGAGAACUAUGAAAACAAUGACCCGAUAACGCCCCACGAUAACUUGGGCAAGCUGGCUGAGCAUGCAUGAAGGGACGGCCUCUGCUGUGCUGAAACUGAACUCUCGAAGGAGCACCACUAUAGCUACCAAAUCUUCGAGGCCUCUUGGCCUCCCUCUCCUAUCGCUCCUAGCGAUGAACAGACUCAAUCUCACGGGCGAUAUCCACAACCUCCUCGAAGGUAGCACUAGUCACCCUCUCCCUAGUCAUGAGGAUACGAAGCUGAUAAGUGAGGACAUCAACAGACCUCAUAAUCCUCUCUCUAUCUGUCGGAACCAACCAAAUGGAAUUACGAGCUAACUCGGAGAACCUCAACUCAUACUGUGACACGGUCAUCUCUCCCUGAUGCAACCACUCAAACUACCUGUGCAGCUCCUCUCUACGAGACUGCGACACAUAUUUCUCCAGAAAGAGAACGGAGAACUGCUUCCAGGUAGGGGGUGCUGCACCAACAGGCCUACGCCUCUCAAAAUCCUCCAACCAAGUGAAGGCAACUCCAAAAAACUAAUAAGUAGUGAAAGAGACCCCGCUGGUCUCCAAAAUACCCGCUAUAUGAAGCAUCUUUUAACAAUUAUCCAAUAAACCCUAGGCAUCCUCGCCCUCUAUACCACUGAAGGUUGGAGGCUGAAGUCUACCAAACCUCUCUAACCUACGCUGCUUGUCCUUUGGCAUGGUAGGAACUACAGAGUCCUGAGAAGCUGCAACCGCCUAGGCUGGAUGUGCCCCGGGAGUCUAAAGUCCCUGCACGACCUGCUCAGGUGUGUGAGCGGCGGGAGUCUGAUUGCCUUCCCCGGCCUGAGAAGUAGUUGCGGCUGUAGUGGCUGAGACCACCUGAGCUAGGCUAGUACAAACUGAUAGAUACUGAGCCAAGGCCUCCUAAAGACCUGGAAUCACAAUAGGCACAGCUGGUGCUACUAGAGCGUCCAUAACUGGGACCUGAUCCGGAAUUGGAGCGGCUGGUGGAUCGGUAGGUGCUGCCCUAGCUGUUGUGCAGGCCACACCUCUGCCCCUACUGCGACCACGACCGGGUCAUCGGCUUCUAGUGGCCAUAGAUGGUGGUACUAGUAGUCGUCCAUCCUGACCGGCAGCGCGUGUCCUUACCAUCUAUGAGAGAAUAGAAUAACAGAAGUUUAGUACUCGAAUCAACAAAUUCGCACGACAAGAAUUUCAAGAAUAUGAAGUUUUUCCUAAAGGUUCUACAGCCUCUCGAGGAUAAAUAUAGACGUCUCCGCACCGAUCCACAAGGCUCUACUAAACCUGCUCAUGACUUGUGCGACCUAUGUAACCUAGGCUCUGACACCAACUUGUCACGACCCUAAACUCUGACCCGGUCAUGAUGGCGCCUCUCCUGAAGACAAGGCCAGCCGAAACUUUCCAUUUUAGUAAUUAACAGUUAAUAAGUAAGAAACAGUCUAAAACAUGACAAAAUAAUCCAAAGUUUAACCAGAUAAUACCAUAAUGUGCGGAAUAAAACCCAACAUAGCCCGAUACUGGGGUGUCACUAGUCAUGAGUAUCUAAACAAUCCGGAAUACUCAGAGAAAACUACAGAGUUUAAUACAAAAACUAAGAACAUGGAAAAAUAUGAUAUGGAAGAAGCUCUGGGCUGCGAACACCAACGGCUACCUAGAGACCCCUCGGAUCCGCCUGAGUUGGAAAGAUCAGUACUCGGGAGUGAGACAAGAUAUGCCUGAAUCUGCACACAUGGUGCUGGGAGUAAAGUGAGUACUCCAACUCAAUGAGUAAUAAUCAAAAAUAAAAACUGAAAGCAGGAAAACACGUAAGGCACAUUACCGGCUAUAAUAAAGCAGUAAAACAAGUAAUAACAGUAACUCAGUUAAAAUAUAAGAGAAGUCAUUUUAUUCAACUUACACUUCAUAAAAGCCUUUCCAGCAAUUAAACAGAUAAUGACAGGCAAUUAAGAAAGAUAACACACAAAGGUUUGCCCCUCGGGCACAGUAUCAACAAAUCUGCCCCUCGGGCAAUAUCUCAAAACAAUACCAGCCCCUCAGGCCACAUCUCACAUCACAUGGGUACCCGCGCUCAUUAGGGGUGUGCACACUCCUGGAGGGACCCCUUAUGGCCCAAGCGCAAUAUCAAGCCAUCUCGUGGCAUCAUCACUAGGCUCUCGGCCUCAUAUCAAUCAAGCCACCUCAUGGCAUACAUAUCUCAGGCCCUCGGCCUCAAAUCACGAUCAGUGUUUCCCCACAACAUAGGCCCUCGGCCUUAUUCAGUCAAAAAUCCUCACAAGCCACUCGGCAGUAGUAAAACGGGAUUUCUCAGCCCAAUUAUCAUUUAAAAGAUCAUAUAAGUGUUAAAACAUAGUAAACAUGGCUGAGUAUGAAAACAGUGAAAUAUAUCAUGACCGAGUUCAAGUAUAAAGUCAAAACAGUGAGGAAAUAUCAAUAAAAAUCCCCGAAGGGUUCAAAUAGUUGGCACGAGACCCAAAUAUGGCAUUCAGUCCAAAUAAUGAUGAUAGCAAAUAGAUUUCAGUCAAAUACGCUGUAAAAUAGUCAUUCGGGAUGGACUAAGUCACAAUCCCCAAUAGUGCACGACCCCACGCUCAUCAUCAAGCAUGUGUGUCACCUCAAUAUAGCACAACGAUGUGCAAUCUGGGGUUUCAUACCCUCAGAACAUCAUUUACAAUCAUUACUCACCUCAAACCGGUCAAAUCUCUAGCUCACGACGCCUUUACCCCUCGGAUCAGCCUCCACUCGCGUCGAAUCGAUCCAAAAUCAGAAUCGCGGCGUCAAAAUAUGCUAAUGGAACGAAGCACAAGUGAAAAUAAUCAAUAUACGACACAAAUCCCAAAAUUACCAAAACUCGACCCCCGGGCCCACGUCUUGAAAUUCGAUAAAAUUCACAUCAGUGGAUUCCUUAUCUCCCCAUGAGUUCAUACAUAUCAAAAGUUAUGAAAUCUGACCUCAAAUGAUCCUUCAAAUCCUCAAGUCAAGGUCUCCAAUACCAAGCCCUAGUUUCCCCAAUUUUAACCUUUAAAUUCCAUUAAUUAUAGUUCUAAUCCGUGAAAUAAUAGCAUAGGAACGAGUUUUAGGUCCAAAAUCCUUACCUCAAUGAAGUUCCCUUGAAAUCCCUCUUAAAAAACGUCCAAAAAGCUCCAAAGACGACUCAAAAAUAGUGGAAUAGCUCAAAAAUCGUGAAGGACACAAUUUAUACCUUCUAGGCCAAGCAUUUCGCAUCUGCGACCAUAUAACCGCUUCUGCGGUACCGCAUUUGCGGUCCUCCUAACCGCUUCUGCAGUUCCCGCCAACUUCCCAACUUUCGCUUCUGCGACCCUUUUCCCGCAUAUGCGGCGUCGCACCUGCGGUCCCCAAUCCGCAGUGCGGAAAUACCAGAAACAGAAAAAUCUGCAACUUUACAAAAUCUCAAACUCCUCCGUCAACCAUCCGAAAUCAUCCCGAGGCCCCCGGAAUCUCAACCAAAAGCACAAACAUUUCCCAUAACCUUAUUCAAACUUGUAUCAAUCUUCAAAACACCUCAAACAACAUCAAAUCAACCAAAACACAUUGGAUUCAAGCCUAAGUUUCCAAAAUCUUCCGAAUUCCGCUUUUGAUCAAAAACCCAACCAAACCACGUCCGAAUCACCUGAAAUUUUGCACACAUAUCCCAAAUGACACCAUGUAACUAUUGCAACUCUCGUAAUUCCAUUCCGACCCAUAUAUCAAAAUCUCGCCUACCAACCGGAAAUCGACAAAAUAUCAACUUUGCCAAUUCUAGCAUAAAUCUACUCCGAACCUCCAAAACUCAUUCCGAUCACGCUCCUAAGUCCCAAAUUACUUCCCGAAUUUAUCUGAACCAUCGUUACUCACAUUCGAGCCCUCUAACACAUAAGUCAACAUCCGGUUGACUUUUCCAACUUAAGCUCCCUCAAAAGAGACUAAAUGCCUCAAAUUAUCAAAUCAAUUCCAAACCCGAGCCAACCAACCCGAUCACACAUAUAACUGAUAGACCAAGCAAUAAGAAGCAGAAAUGGGAACUGGAGCGGUAACUUAUGAGACGACUGGCCGGUUCGUCACAAAUUAAGUAUUUUAGAACAAUGUGCAUUUUACCUUUUACCGUUCUUAAUUGCUUGAUUAUUCAUAAGUAUUAAAUUAUCUUGAAACGAGUCAUGCGUACGUGUACUCAUUUGGUAACCUAAACUUGGAAUUGCUAGCUAUUAUAUACUAAUGCAAGAGAGCAUUAAUAGAUUCAGUUUAUUGUUAUCUCUUACCUCUUAAUUCCAUAGUAAUGAGAUGGUCAAACUAAACCUUAUAUCUGGCAAAGUUUUAAUUUAUUAUUCUUCGAAGCAUUUUUUGUUCAUUUAACAGUAAUUUAUUGCUUACAUUUCAUUAUGCGACCAUGUGUACGUAAUCACGAUAAUUUAUUUAUUAAUACGCGCCUAAAGCAUACUAACGUGUUUAUAAAUUAUUUUUUUUCCUAAGUUAUUCUAAAGUUAUUUGUGAAGGCCUUGAAAUGUUUUUUUUUUUUUGAAAGAAAAGCAGGUCAUUACUCAGUACUAUCUCAAUUUUCAAGUAUGAUAACUUAAAGUAAAGAAAUAUCUUAAUAUUAUACCUACAUUUAUUGAAUUUAUAGCAAACAAAACUUUGUCUUCUUUAGCAUUUCUUCAAGCACGAAAACAGUUUUAAACGCAAGUCCCAUCUCUUAGAACACUUUAUUAUUAUUAAGAUUGUUCGGUCAAAGUUGCGUGAACGCAUACUUUUAUUUAUUUUGAAAAUCAUAAUUACAUCACGCGAACGUGUACUUAAUCAUGAUAAUUUGACUAAUUAAGAGCGAGCCUAAGACAUUCUAAAGCAUUCAUGAAUUAGGUCCAAAGUUAUGGCUUCCAGAAAGAUUUUCUACUUGGAAACAACUAAUUUUGCGGACCUUAUCCCAAGAGGAUGCAUUUCAAAACCGAAUAUUUAGUUCUAUGAAAUUUUAUGGGAUUUUUACAUACCUAUACACUGUUGGAAACUUUAUUAUCAAAAAUGUCCAUGUUUAGUUAAUUGCCCGACCUAAACAAGUUUUGUCUACAAAAUACAUAUAUCCAUCUUAGAAGGCUCCCGAUCUAUUAUUUGUGCCUUCAAUCAAGGGAUUUAGUUACACCAUUUUUCUUUUUUCUCUCAUCUCUCCCCUCUUCUCUCCAGAUUCUCUCUUUCUCCCCAUGUCUCGAAAAACCAGAGUGCUUUGAAUAAUAACGAAAUUCCCAAAUAAAUCUGCUACUCUAACAAACUUUGCUCAAAAUCCUCUUUCUUACACUUCUUUUAAGCCCAAGAGUAACAGACUUUGCUCUAAAAGAUGCAUCUCUAGUUUUAGUGUACAAUUAUCUAAAUACUCUAGUUGUCUAGAGAUGUACGAACUAUGUGACCUCACCUAUAUAGGUGGUUAUUUUAAGAGAAUAUGCUUUGAUAACUCAUAAAUCAGCGAGUAAUUUUAAAUUAAACCUAAAUCUUCAACUUUUUCCUUACCUCAUCUUGUAUCUUGUAAUUGGUGUAGGUAGAUUACUUUCACUUUCUAUGCGCAUACAUAUAAGAAUUUUUUUUUUAGUUUAUGCAUAGACUGAAAAUUCAAACUGAAGGUAAAGUCAUUCUAUUUUCCAUAGUAAAAAUAAAUUUCAUGCAACUAAUUUUAUAUUAUACAACUUAUCUACAGUUUUCAUACAUUAUGUCAAAUCAGUUAUAUAUAACUACAAUAUCAUACAACUUGAAUACAAUUUUUAUACAAUAUUAUUCAACUUUCAUACAAUAUUUAAAUAUAUAUAUAUAUAUAUAUAUAUAUAUAUAUAUAAACAAAAUAUAAUUUUUUCUACAAUUUUUUACUACAAUUUUCUGUAGUAUAAUGUAUGUCAUGNNNNNNNNNNNNNNNNNNNNNNNNNNNNNNNNNNNNNNNNNNNNNNNNNNNNNNNNNNNNNNNNNNNNNNNNNNNNNNNNNNNNNNNNNNNNNNNNNNNNNNNNNNNNNNNNNNNNNNNNNNNNNNNNNNNNNNNNNNNNNNNNNNNNNNNNNNNNNNNNNNNNNNNNNNNNNNNNNNNNNNNNNNNNNNNNNNNNNNNNNNNNNNNNNNNNNNNNNNNNNNNNNNNNNNNNNNNNNNNNNNNNNNNNNNNNNNNNNNNNNNNNNNNNNNNNNNNNNNNNNNNNNNNNNNNNNNNNNNNNNNNNNNNNNNNNNNNNNNNNNNNNNNNNNNNNNNNNNNNNNNNNNNNNNNNNNNNNNNNNNNNNNNNNNNNNNNNNNNNNNNNNNNNNNNNNNNNNNNNNNNNNNNNNNNNNNNNNNNNNNNNNNNNNNNNNNNNNNNNNNNNNNNNNNNNNNNNNNNNNNNNNNNNNNNGUCUAAUCUUCACCAAAUGUCACGACCCUAAAACCGACCCACUCAUGAUGGCACCUAUAAUGAAACUAGGCCAGCUGACACAAGCCCCAAAUUAAUCAGUAUUUCAUAAAAGUCAUUUUUAAGCCAUUAAUUAACAAAAUCUCAUAACGUAAGUUCAAAUAAUCAGUGCGGAAGAAAAUAACAUAAGCCCGACAUCGGGGUGCCACAAGUCACGAACAUCUACUAAGGUCUGAAUACAAUGAAGAGUCUGAAAAUAUAUUAAAAACAGUCUAAGGAAGAUAAUAGGGAGAAGAGCAGGGCUGCGAACGCCCGACAUACCUUGCUAACUCCGAUGGACCAGCCACUGAGUAAUCAACACCCGCUACCGGGUUCAGAAAUACCUGAAUCUACACACAAAGUGCAGGGAGUAAUGUGAGUACGCCAAUUCAAUAAGUAAUAAGAGUAAAUAAAGAUUGAGCAGUAAGAAAACACAUAAUCCAUGUCAUAUUACCACAGUAAGUACAGUGUGUUUCCAAAAUAGUAUAUGAAUCAAAUCAUUUCGUUAAAAAUCUAGUUUCAGUAAAAAUCAUUUGAAAAUGUGUAAAAAUCCAUUUAAAACAUCUUUUAGCAGUUUUCAAACAAGUGAUGAAACAAUGAGUAGAAAUGAUGAAAACAUAUUCGCCCCCUCGGGCAAAAACUCACUUGUCUACAUCCCCUCUGGCAUAAUAAAUCAUAAACCGCCCCUCGGGCAAAAUAUCAACAGAACCAUCCCCUCGGGCAACAACAUAAAUAAAAAAAGCCCCUCGCGCAACAUCACUCACACUGGGUACCCGUGCUAACUGGGGUGGUCAGACUCUGGAGGGGCUCCUAUAGCCCAAGCGCUAUAACAAGCUAUCUUGUGGCAUAAUAAAUCAGGUCCUCGGCCUCGUAACAACAAGCCACCUCGUGGCAUAAAUCAAUCUAGGCCCUCGGCCUCACAAUAUCAUGAAUCAGUAACAGCAUGUUGCGGCGUGCAGCCCGAUCCCGUAAUAUCCUCACAACACAAGUCCUCAGUCUCACUCAGUUAGAACUUAGAAAUCUCUCAAGCCACUCGAGCUAACAGUAAAAUAGGGUACUUAUCCCAAAAUAUCAUUUAUAGGAUCAAAACAGAGUGAAUAAAGCCGACUUAUGAAAUCAAUAAAAACAUAACAUGACUGAGUGUAAAUAUUAAACCAAAACAGUGAGGGAACAGUAGUAUAAAGCCCCUAAGGGUCCAAAUAGUUGGCAUGAGGCCCAAAUAUAGCAUUCAGUCCAAGUCAUAGUAAUACUUUCCAAAACACAAUAGUGCCAAAUAGUUUUCAAUCAAAUACGAGACUUAAUAGUCGUACGGGACGGACCAAGUCACAAUCCCUAACGGUGCACGCCCUCAUGCUCAUCAUCUAGCGUGUGCAUCACCUAAAAGUAGUGAAACGAUGUGAAAUUCGGGGUUUCAUACCCUCAUGGCAACAUUUACAAUCAUUACUUACCUCAAAACCGAACGAAAAUCUACACUGCGAUGCCCUUGCCGCUCGACUCGGCCUCAAAUCAUUCGGAAUCUAUCCUAAAUCAAAAUCAUAUCAUCAAUACAUGCUAAAGGAACAAGGCCCACACAAAAUUAUCAAAUUAAAUCAAAAUUUCCGAAAUUGGCCAAACCCGACCCCUGGGCCCACAUCUCGAAAUGCAAUAAAAAUCACAAAACUAGAAUCUUGAUCCUCUCGCGAGUCCAUACAUACCAAAUUUAUCAAAAUUUGACCCCUCAAGUCCUCAAUCAAACUCUCCAAAAAUGCCAAGCCCUAACCCCUCAUUUUCACCCCUAACCUUCAUAAAUUACAUGAUUAAACAACGGAAAAUCAUCACAUAUACGAGUAUUAGGGCUCAAGCCACUUACCUUACUGAUAAACCCUUGAAUUCCUCUUCAAAAUCGCUCACAAAAGCUCCAAAGCCGAUUAAAAAUGGUGGAAAAUGAACCAAAAUUCGCGAAGUACACAAUCUAUACUUUCUGUCCAGAGGUACCGCAUUUGCGGUCAAAAUGUCGCUUCUGCGACGCUGCACCUGCGGAAAAUCCCUCGCAGGUGCGGUUCCCACUUAUGCCCUCAAAAACUGCUUCUGCGAUCACAACAAUGCAUCUGCGGUCUCGCAGGUGCGCUCCACUAUCCGCACCUACGUCUCCUGCCUCAGCUCUUCAGAAUCCCACAUCUGCGAUUUGCCUUCCGCAUCUGCGAUCAUCGCACUAGCAGUUCCCACUCUCUAUGUGCGAAAAUAUCAAAGCAGCAGCUUCAGAUGCCUUAUUCCACUUUCCAACUCUUUGAUAGCCAUUCGAAUUAAUCUCGAGACCCUCGGGACCUCAACCAAAAAUAUCAUCAAGCCACAUAUCAUUAUUCAAACCUAUACCAUCCUUCGGAACACUCAAAAUAACAUCGAAACAUCAAAUCACCAUCAGAUUCAAGCCUAAGGAUUUCAUAACUUCCGAAUUCCGCAAACGAUGCCGAAACCUAUCAAACCUCAUAUAAAUCACCUAAAAUUUUGCACAAACAUAACAAAUGACACUACGGACCUACUCCAGUUUCCGGAAUUUCAUUCCAACCCCGAUAUCAAGAUUUCCACUACCAACGGGAAACGCCAAAUUUUCAAUUUCGCCAAUUCAAGCCUAAAUCUACCACGGACCUAUAAAUGAUAAUCCGGACGCGAUCCCAAGUCCAAAAUCACCUAACGGAGCUAACCAAGUCAUAAAAAUCGAAAUCCGAGGUCAAAUACUAAAAAGUCAAAACUUGGUCAAACCUUUUAAAUUUAAAGCUUCAAGUUGAGAAUUGUUCUUCCAAAUCUAUUUCGAUUAUCCUGAAAACCAAAACCGACGAUUUACAUAAGUCAUAAUAUAUCAUACGGGGCUAGUCAUGCCCGAGAAAUGGCUAACAAAGUGCAAUUUCUCAAAACGACUGAUCGGGUCGUUACACCCUCCCUCACUUAAACAUACGUUCGUCCUUGAACGUGCCCAGAAUUGUUGCGAAAGCCAUCAAAUCACUGCAUAACCUUACCAUGCACAUAUCCGAGGGUGAUCCCAUGUCACCCUAUCCCAUAUAGGUCUGAUAAUGCAACAGGACUUAAAUUUCACAAUCCAACCAAGCCCAUGAACCUUAGAACCAAAUUUCCAUUUCCGAACUUAUCUAUAAUAUCAGAAUCUCUCAUUUAUACACCAGAUAAGUCCAAACAAGCUAUAACAAACCAUAUUUGUAACCCUAGAUGCAAUAACAUGAUAUACCACAUAACUCAAUCACUCGUAGAGAUAACUUCAAAUCACGGUAGCUGCACACAACAACCGAAUAUCGAUAAUAAACCUCUUAUCAAAUAAAGUUUCAUUCCAUCACUUUGUAUACUGCCAAUGAUGAAAGAAACACGCAAAAAGUCAUAAUCUUUCCUCAAAUCAACCAUUCAUGAAACUCCCUCUCCUUUGGCAAGGACCAUAGUAAAUUUCUAAACUGAAUCCGAUAUUAUCCUUCCAACAUGCUGAAAUCGAAUCCGAUAGUAUUCAUUCUAGAUCUCAAUAACCUCAUCUCAUCCAACACAACUACUCUAGUAACAUGACACAUCGAUACAAUCUAGAUCCAUAACCCGUGCGACCCGCGCACCAAUAAGCAACAGUCCAAAUGUACUCAAAUCAUGGAUAAAAUGACUCAAAGAGAGAGCUAUGCCGCAAGCUCACCAAUACCACCACCACACAAUGCUGAGAACCCAUCACACAUCAAAGAACCAGAACACAUGAAUCUAACCCGAAGGAUCAUACCUCCACAUUACUUUGUUGCACUGCGCGAUCCUAUCCAAACAUUGGUCCACAUGAAACACCUCAAGUCACUAUGCUCAAAAUCAACAACCACGCGCAAUUUGAUGUCUAGUACCAAAAGCAAAUCAUCAUAACUACGGCGAAGCAAAUGACAUAACACCACACAAACUUUAAAGGACACAACCGAUACACCAUCCACCGAGCAAUACCCAAUACUCUUCCCACUCAUAUUCCACUAUGAGACCCCAAUAGAACCACAUCAUAUGUGCCUAUAGCCAACAAAUCAUAACGCCUCGAAACACGGAAAGGCAACACAUAGAUCACCCUAGAACACUAAUAAGCUCAAUAACAAUCAAAUUAAGACAUUCCUCAACAAUAGCAACUCGGAGUCAACAAAGACGACUCGAUACAGAACACACAUCUAUACUGGCCUACCAAUGAACCCCUUAUCAAGAAGUUCCUAAAGAUGCUCCUUCAACUCCUUUAACUCCGCGUGUGGCAUACAAUACGGUGCCUGACACCAAAUCAAUACCGAAAUCAACAACCCUAUUCGGCGGCAUGCUCGACAGCAGGAAACACAUCUGGAAAAUCUCUCACCACUGGAACUGAAUCAAUGGUAGGAGUCUCUGCACUGACAUCCCUCAAGAAAGUGAAAUAAGAAAGACAACCCUUCCCAACCAUCCAAUGGGUCUUCAAAAAUGAAAUCACCCUACUGGGAACAUAAUCUGUCAAACCUCGCCACUCAAUCUAUGGAAUCCCUGGCAUAGCCAACAUCGUUGUCUUAGUGCAAUAGUCCAGAAUAACACGACACGGAGACAACCAGUCCAUACCCAAUAUCACCUCAAAAUCUAACAUACUAAGAAACAAAGGAUCCACUCGGGUCUCCAAACCCCCGAUAAUCACCACACAAGGCUGAUACACGCGACUUACAACCACAGCAUAACCCGUUUAUGAGAAUUCCCAGUCUCCAAAUACAUAUAGCACAUGAAUCACCAUAUCUGAUCCCAAUUCCAUCGUCUGAAUACAUAACACACCUCUAAUACCCAAUCAUUCCACGAGGGAUACUCCUAAAAUUCUUCCGUACCACCAAGCAAACUCGAAUAUCAGCAGUCGAUCAAACAAGAGAGUGUUGCAAUACCAAUGAUGUAUUAUUAACUCAAUCACAUAGCCCUUUCUAUAUGCCCUCAUUAAGCCACACCAAUUAGCAAUAUCAUUUGCCUAAUCAUCUGAAACUGCCCGUGUUUCCUAAGAAUUUAUGACCUUCGUUUCAGAACUGAACUAUGACCUUACACAUGCAAUCUCAACCCUACACAACAUACUGUAUAUACCAUACCAUCUUAUGUCAAAUAUGAGGACUUCGUAAUCCAUUUCGUGCCACAAGCAACUACGUACUCAACUAGACAAGAACUUCCCAUCUUAUCCCAUCUAGAAGAAAAUCACUACACAUCACAUGCUUCUCACGCUAGUAGAAAAUAUACAUCUCUAACCGUGGUAGAAAACCAUCAAGAACCCUCGGAAUCCCAUUUUCACAAAACCAAACCGUCAGGACUGAAUCCUUUUAGCUCAUCCAAGCUACGCAGGUCACCAAAAACCCAAGAGCAUUGCCACAAGAAAUUUGUAGGAACUCAUUACCUCAUAAGCACCCAAAGAACUAAUCAUAUCCCUUAACAUGCCAAUCCGACCUACUACCAAGCCAUCCUAUUAAUCCCAAUGUUCUUCUGAUUUACCUUCAAAUUGGUACUUCUCCUUUCCAUGAUACUGCAAUCCUCAACCCAGACUCACCACACGAGACCCAAGCAUAAAACCACACCGUCUAAGGAUCAUAAGCCGUUGAAUAUUCUCUUAAAUAUCCCCAAAAGCACCAUAUUUCAAAUAUUUACCCUAAAGAGACUUCUUGUGAAUCUGGAGCCAUUACCUUCACCUUCAUGAUGUUGAUAUGCAUAAUCCAUAACGAUAUAGGAAUGUCACAAGUCUUGUCAUCCUCCAAUGUAAACCUCAGUUUCUAGCCAAAUACACAUCUUGAAGAUCUCUAAUUAUUACAAGUAAAUCCUGAAUCCUUUAAACGACUCUCGGGUGUCAUCCACUCUACUCGGUUCCAAUUAAAUUGAUCAAACAAACCGAAUGACUUGUGCUCCAAUAGCACUCCAACACCCCAGAAAGUAGCCCUACUUUAAAGCAACCAAAUAAAUUCUUGUUCCAUGCAUAUUACAUCCUUCACCAAUAAUAACUCAAGUCAUUCCAUGAUUCUUAUACACCCAUAAAGCAUAACACAACCCCUAUCCAAAAUUUCUUUUACUCGAGUCAUCCUCGAUCUCAACCUCUAUAAGCCAUACCUGAUUCACUAGUAUGCCAUAAACUGGAACCAACAUAGCACCUAACUGUGAAAUCAACUGAUCAAUAGCAGACUCCCCCACUUGGCUCAAAGCCAUAUAUUAAAACACACAAUAACUCACAAUGCUUAUACUCUAAUACCGCCAUAAUACCAUAGUAAGAUUAAACUCAAUCCUUCAUAAGCUCGUGCAACACAAGCCAUCUAAUACUUCAAAUCUUCUACAAAUCUCGCAUUCACCCUCAUAACAGUCAAGCCCACUCUUUUAAGCGAUCCAAAUUCAAAUUGCAACACACAUAUUUCACUGGUAAAAGAGGUCUUCCAACAAACAAUAUAAGGAUCACACAAACUUCAAAACACUCUGCAGGAGAUAACCCACAUGCUUCACCUCAAACGAACAUCUCUUCAUACCCUUCCACAGUCAUAAACUUCACGCAAUCCCUUAAUUUUCCUGAUUCUGAACUCAUAUCAUAACGUGAAAUCUACUCCACUCCCUAACUAGAUAACAUUAAAAGAUUCUUCACACACCCAUAACUCAAACAAUACAUCAAAUCGCAACAGGAAUCAAGCACCAGAUAGUUCUUUCUACCCUCAAGCAAACCCUUCUCAUCACAUUCAAAUCAUAUGAACAUAUCUCGCAGUCACAUCAUACUCAUCACGUAGCUACCAGUCCCCACCUCCACUAACAGGGACACUAUCGAACAUAUAAAUCCAAAAGCACGUGCUCACCUAAUCAACACCUCAGUGCUCAUACUAUAAGCAAAGCUCGGCCUCAAGUCCUCCAGACUGGCCCGACAUCAACACAUAGAAAUCACAUCUCGCUCCUCGGGCAAGGAAUCACAAAUCAUCGAUGCAUAGCUGAUAUCGAGUGCUCAUGCGCGCAUACGAACGCAUGAAAGGAAUUUCAAGAGUUAAAUUUCAAGCUGAAUCAAUGUCGCACGAUAAGAAUUCAAGAAUGUGGGAUUUUCCUAAAGGUUCUGCAACCUCUAGAAGAUAAGUACAGAUGUCUCCGUACCGAUCUGCGACACUCUACUAAACCUGCUCAUGACUCGUGAGACCUAUGUAACCUAGGCUCUGAUACCAACUUGUCAUGACCCUAAAACUGACCCAGUCAUGAUGGCGCUUAUCGUGAAACUAGGCCAGCCAACAGAAGCCCCAAAUCAACUAGUAUUUCAUAAAAGCCAUUUUUAAGCCAUUAAUUAACAUAAGUUUAAAUAACUAGUGCGGAAGAAAAUAACGCAAGCCCAAUAUUGGGGUGUUACAAGUCCCGAACAUCUACUAAGGUCUGAAUACAACGAAGAGUCUGAAAAUAUAUUAAAAACAGUCUAAUGAAGAUAAGAGGGAGAACAGUAGCGUGACGACCUGGCCAGUUAUCUCAUGAGUUACCGCUCUAUUUCCCCUAUUUCUGCUUCUUAUUGCUUUGUCUAUCGGUUCUAUAUGUGAUCGGAUUGGUUGGCUUGGGUUUGGAAAGGAUUUGGUAAGAUUUGAGACAUUUAGUCUCUUUUGAGGAAGCUUAAGUUGGAAAGGUCAACUAGAUGUUGACUUAUGUGUUACAGGGAUCAGAUGUGAGUUAUGAUGGUUCGGACAGCUUCGGGAGGUGAUUUCGGACUUAGGAGAGUGAUCAGAAUGGGUUUUGGAGGUUAGGAGUAGAUUUAGGCUUGAAUUGGCGAAAAUAGAUUUUUGGCAUUUUCCGGUUGAUAGGUCAGAUUUUGAUAUAGGGGUCAUAAUGGAAUUUUGAGAGUUACAGUAGUUCCAUCGUGUCAUUUGGGAUGUGUGUGCAAAAUUUCAGGUCAUUCGGACGUGGUUUGGUUGGGUUUUUGAUCAAACGCGGAAUUCGAAAGUUUUUGGAAACUAGGCUUGAAUCCGAUGUAUUUUGGUUGAUUCGGUGUUGUUUGAGGUGUUUUGAAGAUUAGUAUAAGUUUUAAUAAGGUUAUGGGUUAUGUUUGUGCUGUUGGUUGAGGUCCCGAGGGCCUCGGGGCGAUUUCGAAUGGUUGACGGAGAAUUUGGGAUUUUGAAGAAACUGCAGAUUUUUCUACUUCUGGUAUUUCCGCAGCUGCAGAUUGGGAACCACAGGUGCGAUGCCGAAGAUGUGAGGAGGAAGGAUGUAGAAGUGGAAGAAGGUGAGGGAGGCUGUGACCACAGAAGAGGUUGGUGAACCGCACUUGUGAUGGCGCAGGUGCGGCUUGUGCAUCGUAGAAGCGAAAGUGGGUUUAAGUGAAAAACCGCGGGAGUGGCUCUUGGACCGCAAAAGCAGUACCGCAGAUGCAGUGGAGUGGGACGCAGAUGCAAAAUUCCUGGGAAGAAGGUAUAAAUUAUUUUCUUCGCGAUUUUUGAGCUAUUUCACCAUUUCUAAGUUGGCUUUGGAGCUUUUGGACGAUUUUGAAGGGGGAUUUCAUGGAGACUUCAUUGAGGUAAGGAUUUUGGACCUAAAACUCGUUCCUAUGGUAUUAUUUCACGGAUUAGAGCUAUAAUUAAUGGAAUUUAAGGGUUAAAAUUGGGGAAACUAGGGCUUGGUGUUGGAGACCUAGACUUAAGGAUUUGAGGGACUAUUUGUGGUCGGAUUUUGAUACUUUUAAUAUGUAUGAACUCGUGGGGAGAUAAGGAACCUAUUGAUGUGAAUUUUAUCGAAUUUCGAGAUGUGGGCCCGAGGGUUGGGUUUUGGUAAUUUCGGAAUUUGUGUUGUAUAUUGAUUAUUUUCGCUUGGGCUUCGUUCCCUUAGCAUAUUUUAAUGCUGUGAUUCUGAUUUUGGAUAAAUUCGACGCGAAGGGAGGCCGAUUCGAGGGGCAAAGGCAUCGCGGGCUAGAGUUUGGACCGGAUUGAGGUGAGUAAUGAUUGUAUAUGAUGUCCUGAGGGUAAUAAACCCCAGAUUUGCACAUCUUUGUGCUAUAUUAAGGUGACGCACAUGCUUGAUGACAAGCGUGGGGUCGUUCACUAUUGGGGAUCGUGACUUAGUUCGUCCCGAAUUACUAUUUUACCGCGUAUUUGACUGAAAUCUAUUUGCUAUCAUCAUGUUUUGGGUUGAACGACAUAUUUGGGCCUCGUGCUAACUAUUUGAACCCUUAGGGGAUUUUUAUUGAUAUUUCCUCAUUGUUUUGAUUUUAUACUUGAACUCUGUCAUGCUAUAUUCCACUAUUUUCAUAACUCAGCCAUGUUUACUCUGUUUUAACACUUAAAUGAUCUUUUAAAUGAUAUUUUGGGCUGAGAAUCAUGUUUUACUAUUGCCCGAGUGGCUUGUGAGGAUUUUGGCUAAGUAAGGCCAAGGGCCUAUGUUGUGAGGAAUCACUUAUUAUGAUUAUGAGGCCGAGGGCCUGAGAUAUGUACGCCACGAGGUUGUUUGUUGAUAUGAGGCUGAGAGCCUAGUGAUGAUGCCACGAGAUGGCUUGAUAUUGCACUAGGGCCGUAAGGGGCCCCUCCAGGAGUCUGCACACCCAUAGUGAGCGCGGGUACCCAUUGUGAUGUGAGAUAUAGCCCGAGGGGCUGGUAUUGUUCUGAGAUAUUACCUGAGGGGCGGAUUUGUUGACAUUGUGCCCGAGGGGCGAAUCUUUAUGUGUUUAUCUUUCUUAUUUGUCUAUCAGUUACCUAUUUAAUUGUUGAAAAGGUAUUUCCUGAAGUUUAAACUGAACUUAAAUGAUUUUACAUAUUUUACUGAUUCACUGUUUUUACCGGUGUUAUUGCUUUAUUAUAGCCUACAAUGUGCCUUACGUGUUUUCAUAUCUCUCAGUCGUUUAUUAAUGAUUAUUACUCACUGAGUUGGAGUACUCACUUUACUCCCUGCACCCUAUAUGCAUAUUAAGGCGCAUCUGGUCCCGCUACCGAGUGUUGAUCUUUCCAGCUCAGGCGAAUUCGAAGAUUCUCUAGGUAGCUGUCGGCAUUCGCAGCCUAGAGCUUCUUCCCUUAUCUUAUUUCUCUUUGUUUUAGAUUGUAUUGAACUCUAUAGACUUUCUUGUCUUAUUCCGGAUUUUUAGACGCUCAUGACUAGUGACACCCCGGUAUAGGGCUGUGUUGGGCUGUAUUCCGCGAAUUUUUUUGUAUUGUCACUGCUUACUUUUGGAUUUAUAUCAUGUGUUAUGACAAAGUGCUUAUUGUUUAAUUGCUUAAAACUGGAUUGGGAAUGUGUCGGAUGGCCUUGUCUUCAUGAGAGGCACCAUUACGACCGGGUCCAGGUUUACGGUCGUGACAAGUAGGGUCCAAACAGUUGGCACGAGGCCCAAAUAUGGCAUUCAUCCCAAGACAUAGUAAUAUUUUCAAAACAUAAUAGUGUCAAAUUUUUUUCAAUCAAAUACGUGACAUAAUAGUCGUACGGGACUGACCAAGUCACAAUCCCCAAUGGUGCACGCUCCCACGCUCUUCAUCUACUAUGUGUGUCAUCUCAAAGUAGUGAAACGAUGUGAAAUCCGGGGUUUUAUACCCUCAGGAUAAAAUUUAAAAUCAUUACAUACCUCAAAACGGACGAAAAUCUAUACUGUGAUGCCC
rnacentral:lncRNA from 1 species